rnacentral:rRNA from 1 species
AUGAUCGAGGAGAUUGUUACUAUACUUGUGGAAAAAGUGGGCCAAUAUUCAUCUAGAUGCCGAGCAGCGUUGCAAGCGGCGUCUAAGAAAGGGGCCAAGAUAAACAAAAAGCACGCGGAUGGGUGGGAUGGUGUUGUGAGGGAGACUGACAUUUUCAUUGAAGAAGAGACCUCUAAGAUGCUCGCAGAUAUUGAUGAAAUAUCAGAAACUGUAAGGCAGAACAACAAAAGGCCAAGGGAACAAGACUACCAAGAUGAUGAUGUCUCACCUGAAGAGUCCGGAGAAGAGUCGCCAUUUUCACCACGUUCGGCCAUUUGUCCUGUGAAUACAGAUAAACGGAAUGUAGAUGAUGGUAAUCCUAUCCAUAGGUCAAAUGACAGUCAACGGGGUGGUUCCCCGAAAAGAGCAAGGGUCGAAGAGACAGAGGAGGAUCCUGACCCGGCGAUUAAGAAUCUGGAAGGACUGGUCGCGGCAGCAGACCAAGACAAUGAAGUAACAAAUGACACUGUGGUGCAUGAACAAAUGCCAAUCCAGGCCAAAGCAGCAGAUGGUAGGCAAUGGGUAUAUGGCCCUAAUGCAGCGCUUAACACAGAGGUUCCCUCAUAUGACCUCGGAAUAGACAAUGCUGGGCCAGUCCUAUCACCGGGAAGGGAAUUGUCAGUUGUGGCUAAAACUCAACAACCGUUCCACAUUCAGCAUCACACUGCCCAGGCCGGUCCAAGCAGAUUCAAAAUAGAUUUCACAGGUUUUAGGAGCAAAGACCUGAUGGAUGAUUUCAGUAGAGCGGUGACACCAGAAGUUGCAGGUACGAGCUCCGUGCCAUCAGCUAACACAACACCUGUAUCAACAUAUGGGAAAAAUGAACUCCAAGGCUCAGGGCUUGACAUAAUAUGCACUCCUGUGCACAGGGCGAUAGAGCCGAAUAAGGCGGCGGGAACAACACCUGUUAGCCUGAACAGGGAGAUCGCGGCACAAGAGUUGGACGUACGUGAGGAGAUGGAGGAGGCAGCAAUCAACCUGAACGUUCCACAGACACAAGAUGGCCUCAGUACACAUCCACAACGAAAAAGAACAGUUAAGCCAGGCAAGGCUGCACGGUCCCCUUUUGUUCUGGGGUACGAUCCUCCCCUAAGAGCACCAGCUAAUGUUGAAAAGGUCUUCAAGAUGUUUAUGAAGGAGCCCGCAUCUGCAAGGAAAGACAAUUGGGUUAUAAGCACUCAGCCAAAAUACAUCGAGCUCUCUGCCGAGCGAAUCAGGACGAACCUUUCGGAAGGGGGUGUGAUAGAUAAUGAUUUGAUGACAAUAGCAGUUAGAAGAUAUCAGCAGAUUGACUACACUUUUGCAUUGGAUAAAGAUGAAGGGUGCUGGCGACAUUGGCUCGAGCCAGACUUUGUGAACCAUGUGAGCAGAGGAGACGUGAUUGUGAGGUAUGUGCAGGACAUGUUUAUUGGGGAACAUAUCAAGUAUGACGUGCACAGAUGCACUGAGUUGGCAGGAGAAUCUAUAGACAGCUGGCCCACAACCGAUGCAAUACAUCUCCAUAUACGUACACCAAAACAAUCACAUGCUCGGGAAUACGCUGCAUGGCUGGGACAGCAGUGGGGCAGGUUGAUUUGA